rnacentral:rRNA from 1 species
GUAGCGGCGAGCGAAACGGGAAAAGCCCAAACCAAAGAGCUUGCUCUUUGGGGUUGUAGGACUGGGACAUGAUGACUGCAAUGGAUAGCAGAGGCAACUGGAAAGUUGCGCAACAUAGGGUAAUAGCCCCGUAUGCGAAAUCCAAAUCAGCUCUACCAGUAUCCUGAGUACGGCGGAACACGAGAAAUUCCGUCGGAAUCUGGGAGGACCAUCUCCCAAGGCUAAAUACUCCCUAGUGACCGAUAGUGAACCAGUACCGUGAGGGAAAGGUGAAAAGCACCCCGGAAGGGGAGUGAAACAGUACCUGAAACCGUGUGCCUACAAGUAGUCAAAGCCCGUUAAUGGGUGAUGGCGUACCUUUUGUAGAAUGGACCGGCGAGUUACGAUUUCAUGCAAGGUUAAGUUGAAAGGACGGAGCCGCAGCGAAAGCGAGUCUGAAUAGGGCGAAUAAGUAUGAGGUCGUAGACCCGAAACCAAGUGACCUACCCAUGUCCAGGUUGAAGGUGCGGUAAUACGCACUGGAGGACCGAACCCACGCACGUUGAAAAGUGCGGGGAUGAGGUGUGGGUAGCGGAGAAAUUCCAAUCGAACUUGGAGACAGC